UAAUAGCGUAUAUUAAAGUUGUUGCAGUUAAAAGCUCGUAGUUGUAUUUUGACCUCGGACAGGCGAUCGGCUUCUGUCGUAUUGCCCUUCCUUGGUCUUCCUUCUGUGGACUGUCUAUUAAGUUAGGCGUGGACGCAGAUCGUUUACUGUGAGUAAAUUAGAGUGUUCAAAGCAGGCAAUACGCUUGAAUACAUUAGCAUGGAAUAAUAGAAUAGGACGUCGGGUCUAUUUUGUUGGUUUAGGAACCGUCGUAAUGAUUAAUAGGGACAGUUGGGGCCGUUUAUAUUCAGUAGUCAGAGGUGAAAUUCUUGGAUUUACGGAAGAUAAACUACUGCGAAAGCAUUCGGCAAGGAUGUUUUCGUUAAUCAAGAACGAAAGUUAGGGGAUCGAAGAUGAUCAGAUACCGU
rnacentral:rRNA from 1 species